ACUCCUCCAGCGCUGCUGCAGGCUCUUCUUACCCCAGCCCUUUUUCCCUUUCAUAAUUUUUAUUUAUGUAUGUAAUUGAUCUCAUUCACCCACAUUCCCCUUUUAACUCCCCACUCCCUGAUACUCUUUUCCCCAACUUUCACGUCUUUUUUUUUUUUUUUUAACCUACUUGCUUUACUUAGGACUGUUGGCUUGUGUAUGGGGUGAGUGUAUUUACUGACCCAUGACCGACUUACCGGUGGCUACACCCCUGAAGAAAAUGACUCCCUACCUCCAGCAGCCAUGGACUUCCAAUAGCUCCUUAGCUUGGGUGGGGCCUCGUCCGCCCCUCCCCCAUCCAUCUGGCCCUGCUUCUUCACUGCCUCUCCUGACCCCGUAGGGACAAGUCUCAGAGACACUGGUUGAACCCAUCAUGAUGUGUACAGUUGCCACAGGAGAGGUGGCAAAUCAGUUUGCCCAGUGGGUGAAUGUCAGGAGCACUCUAGACCAGGAACAGCAUGAACAAAGGCUGAGGGGCAUAAAAGUUCUUUUUUUUUUUUGAGACAGGGUCUAGCUGACCUGGAACUCACUCUGUGGACCAAGUUGGCCACUAACUCACAGAGUUCUCCGUGCCUUUGCCUCCUGAGUGCUGGGAUUAAAAAGCUGUGCCACUAUGCCCUGCUCUUUAUUAUUAUUAUUAAAAUAUAAUUAUAUCAUUUUUCCUUUCCUCCCUCAAACUCUUCUAAUGUACCCAUCCUCCUUGCUCCCUCUCAAAAUUGUGGCCUCUCUUAGGCCAGGCGGUGGUGGCACAUGCCUUUAAUCCUAGCACUUGGGAAGCAGAGAUCUGCCUGCCUCUGCCUCCCGAGUUCUGAAAUUAAAGGCAUGCACCACUGCCACCCAGCUUGGCCUCUCUUUCUUUAGUUGUUAUUAUUUUACACACACACUUAUUAUCUGAUCAGUUCAUUUUAGUAUGUAUAUGAGUUCAGAGCUGACUACUUGGUAUUGGAUAACAAGUUAGAAUCUUUUUUAAUUAAAAUAAUUUUGUGUGUA